UACGAACGGGGCUAGCGUUGCUCGGAAUGGCUGGGCGUAAAGGGCGCGUAGGCGGAUGGCUUUGUCGGGCGUGAAAUUCCAGGGCUUAACCUUGGGGCUGCGUUCGAGACGGGUUGUCUUGAGUGGGGAAGAGGGUCGUGGAAUUCCCAGUGUAGAGGUGAAAUUCGUAGAUAUUGGGAAGAACACCGGUGGCGAAGGCGGCGACCUGGUCCUUUACUGACGCUGAGGCGCGAAAGCGUGGGGAGCAAACAGG
rnacentral:rRNA from 1 species